ensembl:lncRNA
CCAAGAAAAGGUUCAAAAUCAGUUACCCAGUCAUAAGAGGAAAUAUUAUGUGAACAAGCAACAACCAACAUUAAGAGCUAAUGAUAGACAAUAUGUAAGAGAUCAAUCUGUAUCAGAAAAAGAAGAGGCGAGAGCCCAAGUCAGAGACCAACUACCAACUUCAAGGAAUGAUGAGAAAACAAAAGUUAGAUAUCAGAUCCCAGCAUCAAGGGAUGAUGAGAGACAGCAAUUUAGAGAGCAAACCUCAGAACCCCAAGAUGAUUCGCAGGACCAAAUGAAAGAACAGAUCAAAGCACUAAGAGAUGAUGAUAGACCCCAAGUUAGACAGCAGACACCAGAUCCUUGAAGUGAUAAGAGGCAGCAGGGGAGACAACAGACCCAAGUGCCAAGGGAUGAGAGAAGCAUCCAAAAUAGUCAGCAGAUUCAAGUACCUGAAAAUGAAAUAAUAAACCAAGAUAGUCAACAAACAUCAGAUGUAUGGGAUGGUGAAAGACUACAAGAGAGAGAACAGAUAACAGCACCAAGAGAUGAUAGAAAAAGGAAUGGUAGGCAGCAGAUCCCAGAUAUCCCACCUGAUGGAAGAUGUCAAGUUGGGCCUCAGUCCCCAGAAAUCCAGAAUGACAGAAGACAGCAGAUCCCAGGACCAAGGGAUGAUGGCAGAAGGCAACAUAGGGAGCAGACUCCAGAUGUCUCAGAUGAUAGAAGACGUCAGGUUAGGCCUCAGUCUCCAGAAAUCCAGAAUGACAGAAGACAGCUGAUCCCAGUACCAAGGGAUGAUGGGAGAAGGCAACAUAGGGAUCAGACUCCAGAAGUCUCAGAUGACAGAAGACGCCAAGUUAGGCCUCAGUCUCCAGAAAUCCAGAAUGACAGAAGACAGCAGAUCCCAGUACCAAGGGAUGAUGGCAGAAGGCAACAUAGGGAGCAGACUCCAGAAGUCUCAGAUGAUAGAAGACGCCAAGUUAGACCUCAGUCUCCAGAAAUCCAGAAUGACAGGAGACAACAGACCCCAGUUCCAAGGGAUGAUGGGAGAAGGCAACAUAGGGAACAGACUCCAGAAGUCUCAGAUGACAGAAGACGCCAAGUUAGGCCUCAGUCUCCAGAAAUCCAGAAUGACAGAAGACAGCAGAUCCCAGUACCAAGGGAUGAUGGCAGAAGGCAACAUAGGGAGCAGACUCCAGAAGUCUCAGAUGAUAGAAGACGCCAGGUUGGACCUCUGUCCCCAGAAAUCCAGAAUGACAGAAGGCAGCAGACCCCAGUUCCAAGGGAUGAUGGGAGAAGGCAACAUAGGGAGCAGACUCCAGAAGUCUCAGAUGAUAGAAGACGCCAGGUGAGACCUUUGUCCCCAGAAAUCCAGAAUGACAGAAGGCAGCAGAUCCCAGUUCCAAGGGAUGAUGAGAGAAGGCAACAUAGGGAGCAGUCUCCAGAAGUCUCAGAUGAUAGAAGACGCCAGGUUAGGCCUCAGUCUCCAGAAAUCGAGAAUGACAGGAGACGGCAGACCCCAGUUCCAAGAGAUGAUGGGAGAUACCAAGUUCAAGAGCAACCUUCAGUUCCCAGGGAUGAAAGAAGGAGCCAACAUAGGCAGCAGAUCUCAGAAAUCUCAGAUGAUAGAAGACGCCAGGUGAGACCUCUGUCCCCAGAAAUCCAGAUUGACAGAAGGCAUCAGAUCCCAGUUCCAAGGGAUGAUGAGAGAAGGCAACAUAGGGAGCAGACUCCAGAAGUCUCAGAUGAUAGAAGACGCCAGGUUAGGCCUCAGUCUCCAGAAAUCGAGAAUGACAGGAGACGGCAGACCCCAGUUCCAAGAGAUGAUGGGAGAUACCAAGUUCAAGAGCAACCUUCAGUUCCAAGGGAUGAUAGAAGGAGCCAACAUAGGCAGCAGAUCUCAGAAAUCUCAGAUGAUAGAAGACGCCAGGUGAGACCUCUGUCCCCAGAAAUCCAGAUUGACAGAAGGCAGCAGAUCCCAGUUCCAAGGGAUGAUGAGAGAAGGCAACAUAGGGAGCAGACUCCAGAAGUCUCAGAUGAUAGAAGACGCCAGGUUAGGCCUCAGUCUCCAGAAAUCGAGAAUGACAGGAGACGGCAGACCCCAGUUCCAAGAGAUGAUGGGAGAUACCAAGUUCAAGAGCAACCUUCAGUUCCAAGGGAUGAAAGAAGGAGCCAACAUAGGCAGCAGAUCUCAGAAAUCUCAGAUGAUAGAAGACGCCAGGUGAGACCUCUGUCCCCAGAAAUCCAGAAUGACAGAAGGCAGCAGAUCCCAGUUCCAAGGGAUGAAAGAAGGAGCCAACAUAGGCAGCAGAUCUCAGAAAUCUCAGAUGAUAGAAGACGCCAGGUGAGACCUCUGUCCCCAGAAAUCCAGAAUGACAGAAGGCAGCAGAUCCCAGUACCAAGGGAUGAUGGGAGAAGGCAACAUAGGGAGCAGUCUCCAGAAGUCUCAGAUGAUAGAAGACACCAGGUUAGGCCUCAGUCUCCAGAAAUCCAGAAUGACAGGAGACAGCAGACACCAAUGCCAAGAGAUGAUGGGAGAUGCCAACUUAGACAACAGACCUCAGUUCCAAGAGAUGAUAGACGAAGUCAGCAUGAGCACUUGACCCCAGAAAUCUCACAUGAUGGGAGACACCAAAUUAGGCCUCUGUCUCCAGAAAUCCAAAAUGAUAGAAGAGAACAGACUCUAGAACUCCAAGAUGAUGGGAAAUACCAACAAACUUCAGAAUUCCUGAGCAACAGAAGACACCAAGCAAGAAGCCAAAAUCCUAGAACAGAAGUCAAUGACAGUUUCCAGGUAAGACCCACUGUCCUAAUACCAAAGUUUCAGGAUGUUAGGAAACCUAGUACUAAUGAAGACAUUCUCAUACCAAGGGAUGGGAUCAGAAAUCAUGUGCGAAAUCCAACCCUAACUCUGAGAAAGGAUGGGAGGUGUCAGAGCUCUGAAAAUGGAGGUGAUAAGACACACUUUUUAAGCAAUGAUGAAAGAAAUUCUCAGAGAGAUUUGUCUCAGAGAUUUCAUGAUGAUGAUCAGGAACAACUAGAUGAGGGACCUAAUCAUUGGGAUUCCCCAAAGCAGGAACAGACAUCACAGAUUGCUGAGCAUAGAUACCCCAACACCCAGGGAUCACUGGUGGAGACAAAGGGUAGUCCAAUAUAUUGUGAUGUGUAUUUUUUGACGAAGCAAAAAGGCAACUGGCUAUGCUAUUGUAUUCCUGAUCCAUCAGAACAAAAAGAUGAAGGAAGCACACAAAAUAAUGCAUAUCACACAGCCUUUGAUGAUGAUCAACAUGGCAGGCAGAGAAGAGACUGGAGUCUGUAUGAAGACCAUAUCACUCUCAUGAUGGCAUCUAGAUGGCUAUUAUCCUGAUGAGGAGCAUAUACGGAGACGGGAGCAGUGAGCCAGGAAUGAUGGAGACUAUUCAGUUCAGGGGUGGGUAGAAAGAGAGGACAACCCAAAUCAAUACAAAGAACAAGACUGGGAAGAAAAUCCUAAUGAUGAGACUUACUGUCUCAAUCCCAGUCUUGUCUGGAAAUCAGGUCACCAGCACCACUCUCUAGGCUGGACCCAGAAAGUCCAUGAGUUCCAGAAGAAUCUCAGGAACCCAGAUGAUUCUCCAUUCUUUGAAGAUGACUUCUAAAAUCGUGCCCACAUUCCCACAGGUAUUUCGGAUAUUGGAUAUGCUUUGCCAUUCCCCACACUAAAAGGACUGUAUGUUCUGAUCUUUUUCUUUGAGAAAAUAUGUAGCCAGUACUAGUUUAUAAUCAGCAGAAUCUGUCACCUUUUGGUUUCUGGGGUUCAAAGAGGGAUUCUUUAAGGUGAAGGAAGAAAACAAGUGAUCUGUCAGAUCUCCAAUGGCCCUGUGACUACAUGCGACAUCAUUGAAUCACAGCUCUCAAGGCUUACCUGGAGGACAUUUCUUGGUCAAAUUCUAAGCUUGUAUGAAAAUCAUUAAUAAAUGAAUAGCAUUCAAAACUACUGUCUUAUGA